rnacentral:lncRNA from 1 species
UGGCACAUCUUCUCCCCGCAAGGGCUGAGAGUAAUUCUUCCCUCCUGGACCCUCAAACCAUAUAUUUUGUGCUGAGUGAUCUUAUCCACAUAAUGGCUUCAGCCACAGUCAAAAUGCAGAGGAUUCCUGUAUUUCAAUGUCUACUCUGGAGCUCUCAGUUGCGUUCUGGAUCUGUGUAUCCACCUGGCCACUUGACGCCUCCACUUGGAUGUCCCACAGGCAUCUCCAAUGCAAAAUGACUCAUGACCUUCUCCUCCCCAUCAGCACUCUCACAGGAGUUCCUGUCUAAGGAAAUGGUAUCACCAUCUUCCCAUUACAAAAGCCAUACAUUUGAGCACCAUCCUUGACUAAUUCCUGUUCCUUCCUCUGUUGUACCCAGUACCCAAAAGAAUGCCCAGCACAUGGUAGGUGCUCACUAAAUAGCUACUUGAUUGAAUGGAUAUGCAACCCACCACCAAGGAAUGCCACUGUGAUGAAUUAGAACUCUUCUAUCUAAUUCCAUUCUCUGCACCCUGGUCCAGACACCACCUCCUUUCACCUGGAUUUUGCCCUGCCUCUUCAGUGACCUCCCAGGAUGCACUCUGGCCUCUGUGAAGCCAAAGCUCUGCUCAGAUCUUUUCUAAAGUCACCCUCAAAAAUGAGUCACAUUUUUCAGUGGCAUCUCGUGAUUCCUAUAAUGAGGCCCAAGCUCCUCCCCAUGGCCAACAGCAUGGGCUGCCUACAGUAUGGGCUGCCCCCAUCCCAGCCUCACCUUGCUUACUCCCAAAAGCCUCUUUCUGACUCCUGCAGCCACUGUCUCCUUCUUGCUGCCCUUGAACAUGCUUUGACUACCCUGUUCCCUUGGGGACUUCAG